GCAGUGGGGAAUAUUGCACAAUGGGGGAAACCCUGAUGCAGCGACGCCGCGUGAGCGAAGAAGUAUUUCGGUAUGUAAAGCUCUAUCAGCAGGGAAGAAAAUGACGGUACCUGACUAAGAAGCCCCGGCUAACUACGUGCCAGCAGCCGCGGUAAUACGUAGGGGGCAAGCGUUGUCCGGAAUAAUUGGGCGUAAAGGGCGCGUAGGCGGCUCGGUAAGUCUGGAGUGAAAGUCCUGCUUUUAAGGUGGGAAUUGCUUUGGAUACUGUCGGGCUUGAGUGCAGGAGAGGUUAGUGGAAUUCCCAGUGUAGCGGUGAAAUGCGUAGAGAUUGGGAGGAACACCAGUGGCGAAGGCGACUAACUGGACUGUAACUGACGCUGAGGCGCGAAAGUGUGGGGAGCAAACAGGAUUAGAUACCCUGGUAGUCCACACUGUAAACGAUGAAUGCUAGGUGUAGGGGGUAUCGACCCCUUCUGUGCCGCAGUCAACACAAUAAGCAUUCCGCCUGGGGAGUACGGCCGCAAGGUUGAAACUCAAAGGAAUUGACGGGGGCCCGCACAAGCAGUGGAGUAUGUGGUUUAAUUCGAAGCAACGCGAAGAACCUUACCAGGUCUUGACAUCCAACUAACGAAGUAGAGAUACAUUAGGUGCCCUUCGGGGAAAGUUGAGACAGGUGGUGCAUGGUUGUCGUCAGCUCGUGUCGUGAGAUGUUGGGUUAAGU
rnacentral:rRNA from 1 species